CCGGAGAAGCACUUUGGCGCCUGUAAUGCCUUUCCUUACAUGCGAGUGCAAACCGCACUUUGUGGAAAUUGCACAUCUAUCCGUUUAGACACGUCUUUUCCCCAGCCGCGUUUUAUUUUCCUCCCGGCUGCCUCUUCUUUUGCAUUCGGAAAGCCCUCGUUCUCCUUCACUGGACUCUGCCUCAUUUGACUACAUCCCUGCUUUGCUGGCAGCCGAUCAAGUGGACAGCAGGUUAUUCUUUUAUUUUGUUUCACAAACUGAAAUUCGCCGACAUUAUAUUGUUGUCAAAGGUAAAAAAGCAAGAAGAAAAAAAAAACUAAUAGAGCCAUUCACAACGCUGGGCCUGGAACCUGCACAGCCAAAAGAAAGGGAACAGAAAAAGCAAUCAGGCAUUGUUCUGUGGAAAGAAAAGCAACUUUGACAGAUUGAAAUAUAGCAGCGGGGCCCUUCAAGGAAACCUGUAAACAACUUGUCACUCACCCUGUCAGUCUCUCUGUUAGCUCUUGCUGUUUCUUAAAGUGUUGCAAGCUUGCUGGCAAAGAGAACUCCAAGACCUUAGACCAAAACUCCAUGCAAAUAGACCCCAGCAAAAAGGGAGCAAGAAGCCAACAUGCCACAUAAAAACUUAGCAGUCUCUUCUCCAAAGAAGAAAAGAAAAAAUAAGGACGGGAGGUGGCAACCCCACCUCCUUGUGUCUUUCUCUCAACUUAUGAUUCAACUUUGACCACUGAUAAGCCAGAAGACAGGCACGCACACAUUCAAACUCUAAAGUUCCUCCUGGUUGUUACAGCUCUUGGAAAACAAACAGCCGUCAGAAUAUUCCUUCAGUUUAUCUUGAUGGAAAUCUAGGCAGGCAAGGGAGGUAAUCAGGUAAUGGUCCUUUGACAUGAGAUGAUGGAGGCGUACAGAGAGGGAGGCCCGCACUACCCAAUGCCCUGAGCAUCUGGUCAAUAGUAUCCAUGCACAGAGUGCUCACCACACCGCAGCCACACACACAAACCGACUGGCUAUCCACUCCUACUGGGAGGGUUCAUCUCACACAAAAGGCUACAGUACUGAGCCCGCCCUGAAUAAAAAAAAAAAAAAAA